rnacentral:rRNA from 1 species
UACGUAGGGGGCAAGCGUUGUCCGGAAUCAUUGGGCGUAAAGCGCGUGUAGGCGGCCCGAUAAGUCCGCUGUGAAAGUCCAGGCUCAACCCUGGGAUGCCGGUGGAUACUGUCGGGCUCGAGUCCGGAAGAGGAGUGUGGAAUUCCUGGUGUAGCGGUGAAAUGCGCAGAUAUCAGGAGGAACACCAAUGGCGAAGGCAGCUCGCUGGGACGGUACUGACGCUGAGACGCGAAAGCGUGGGGGAGCAAACAGG